rnacentral:misc_RNA from 1 species
GCAAACUUGGUCAUUUAGAGGAAGUAAAAGUCGUAACAAGGUUUCCGUAGGUGAACCUGCGGAAGGAUCAUUAAUUAAGACGAUGCCCUUCUUAGGGAACUCCUCCCGGCAUUGCCGGGUGCAUUUACCUCUCCUUGUGAAUAAACUUAUUUGCUUUGGUAGCAUCCCAUGGUUGGGUUAUUAGUCUACCGCUGGCUUACAAUAAAAUAUUAUGAUAUUCUGUGAGAUGUCUGAAAACAAAAAGUAAAAAUUUUAUAAAACUUUCAGCAACGGAUCUCUUGGUUCUCGCAUCGAUGAAGAACGCAGC